GUGGGGAAUAUUGGGCAAUGGGGGAAACCCUGACCCAGCAACGCCGCGUGAAGGAAGAAGGUUUUCGGAUCGUAAACUUCUAUCCUUGGUGAAGAUAAUGACGGUAGCCAAGAAGGAAGCCCCGGCUAACUACGUGCCAGCAGCCGCGGUAAUACGUAGGGGGCAAGCGUUGUCCGGAAUGAUUGGGCGUAAAGGGCGCGUAGGCGGCCUGGUAAGUCUGGAGUGAAAGUCCUGCUUUUAAGGUGGGAAUUGCUUUGGAUACUGUCGGGCUUGAGUGCAGGAGAGGUAAGCGGAAUUCCCGGUGUAGCGGUGAAAUGCGUAGAGAUCGGGAGGAACACCAGUGGCGAAGGCGGCUUACUGGACUGUAACUGACGCUGAGGCGCGAAAGUGUGGGGAGCAAACAGGAUUAGAUACCCUAGUAGUCC
rnacentral:rRNA from 1 species